rnacentral:misc_RNA from 1 species
GAUCAUUACCGAGUGCGGGUCUUUAUGGCCCAACCUCCCACCCGUGACUAUUGUACCUUGUUGCUUCGGCGGGCCCGCCAGCGUUGCUGGCCGCCGGGGGGCGACUCGCCCCCGGGCCCGUGCCCGCCGGAGACCCCAACAUGAACCCUGUUCUGAAAGCUUGCAGUCUGAGUGUGAUUCUUUGCAAUCAGUUAAAACUUUCAACAAUGGAUCUCUUGGUUCCGGCAUCGAUGAAGAACGCAGCGAAAUGCGAUAACUAAUGUGAAUUGCAGAAUUCAGUGAAUCAUCGAGUCUUUGAACGCACAUUGCGCCCCCUGGUAUUCCGGGGGGCAUGCCUGUCCGAGCGUCAUUGCUGCCCUCAAGCCCGGCUUGUGUGUUGGGCCCUCGUCCCCCGGCUCCCGGGGGACGGGCCCGAAAGGCAGCGGCGGCACCGCGUCCGGUCCUCGAGCGUAUGGGGCUUCGUCUUCCGCUCCGUAGGCCCGGCCGGCGCCCGCCGACGCAUUUUUUUGCAACUUGUU